rnacentral:rRNA from 1 species
AACGAACGCUGGCGGCAGGCCUAACACAUGCAAGUCGAGCGAGGACUUCGGUCCUAGCGGCGGACGGGUGAGUAACGCGUGGGAACGUGCCCUUUGCUUCGGAAUAGCCCUGGGAAACUGGGAGUAAUACCGGAUGAGCCCUUUGGGGGAAAGAUUUAUCGGCGAAGGAUCGGCCCGCGUUGGAUUAGGUAGUUGGGAGGGUAAUGGCCUACCAAGCCGCCGAUCCAUAGCUGGUUUGAGAGGAUGAUCAGCCACACUGGGACUGGGACACGGCCCAGACUCCUACGGGAGGCAGCAGUGGGGGAUCUUAGACAAUGGGGGAAACCCUGAUCUAGCCAUGCCGCGUGAGCGAUGAAGGCCUUAGGGUAGUAAAGCUCUUUCAGCUGGGAAGAUAAUGACGGUACCAGCAGAAGAAGCCCCGGCUAACUCCGUG